rnacentral:rRNA from 1 species
CCUACGGGAGGCAGCAGUGGGGAAUUUUGGACAAUGGGCGCAAGCCUGAUCCAGCAAUGCCGCGUGCAGGAUGAAGGCCUUCGGGUUGUAAACUGCUUUUGUACGGAACGAAACGGCGAGCUCUAAUAAAGUUCGCUAAUGACGGUACCGUAAGAAUAAGCACCGGCUAACUACGUGCCAGCAGCCGCGGUAAUACGUAGGGUGCAAGCGUUAAUCGGAAUUACUGGGCGUAAAGCGUGCGCAGGCGGUGAUGUAAGACAGAUGUGAAAUCCCCGGGCUCAACCUGGGACCUGCAUUUGUGACUGCAUCGCUAGAGUACGGUAGAGGGGGAUGGAAUUCCGCGUGUAGCAGUGAAAUGCGUAGAUAUGCGGAGGAACACCGAUGGCGAAGGCAAUCCCCGUGGACCUGUACUGACGCUCAUGCACGAAAGCGUGGGGAGCAAACAGGAUUAGAUACCCUGGUAGUCCACGCCCUAAACGAUGUCAACUGGUUGUUGGGUCUUCACUGACUCAGUAACGAGCUAACGCGUGAGUUGACCGCCGUGGGGAGUUCGGCGCAAGGUUGAAACUUCGAAAGGAUUGACGG